rnacentral:rRNA from 1 species
UACGGGGGGGGCAAGCGUUGUUCGGAAUUACUGGGCGUAAAGGGCUCGUAGGCGGCCAACUAAGUCGGAUGUGAAAUCCCCAGGCUUAACCUGGGAACUGCAUCCGAUACUGGAUGGCUUGAAUCCGGGAGAGGGAUGCAGAAUUCCAGGUGUAGCGGUGAAAUGCGUAGAUAUCAGGAGGAACACCUAUUGCGAAGGCAGCUCGCUGGGACGUAACUGACGCUGAGGAGCGAAAGCGUGGGGAGCGAACAGG